CCUACGUGAGGCAGCAGUGAGGAAUAUUGGUCAAUGGACGGAAGUCUGAACCAGCCAUGCCGCGUGCAGGAAGACGGCUCUAUGAGUUGUAAACUUCUUUUAUAAAGGAAUAAAACGAGGCACGUGUGCCUUUUUGCAUGUACUUUAUGAAUAAGGAUCGGCUAACUCCGUGCCAGCAGCCGCGGUAAUACGGAGGAUCCGAGCGUUAUCCGGAUUUAUUGGGUUUAAAGGGAGCGUAGAUGGGUUGUUAAGUCAGUUGUGAAAGUUUGCGGCUCAACCGUAAAAUUGCAAUUGAUACUGGCAGUCUUGAGUACAGUUGAGGUAGGCGGAAUUCGUGGUGUAGCGGUGAAAUGCUUAGAUAUCACGAAGAACCCCGAUUGCGAAGGCAGCUUACUAAACUGUGACUGACAUUGAUGCUCGAAAGUGUGGGUAUCAAACAGGAUUAGAUACCCCUGUAGUC
rnacentral:rRNA from 1 species